rnacentral:lncRNA from 1 species
AAGCUUUGAUAAAUAUCGGUAUAAAACACGGCGAAUUGACCUGUUUAAGGUCCGUAGACAGAAGGCUUGAACAGGGGGUUGUACAAGAUACCGGCACAUGUAAAGCGCAUGCGUACGCGUGCGCAGUGCUAUGCUAGUGGUCGGAAGAUGGCGUUGAGUAUGUUCGACUCGGAGACUGCUGCAGUGCACUGGAAAAAUCGUGUUUAAUCUCCGUUUUAGAAAAUGAAAGAUUUGGGGUGACAAACCUGCUUCAGGAGUGGGACUUCCCACAUUUAGUUCCAAUCUUUAGAGUUAAAUGUUGCAGAAGAUGAGCACGAAGAAGACACCUACUGGAUGCAAUAUUACUCAUCACCUGACAACAUUGUUGUUAAUGUGACGAACCUCGGUACCGAGAUAUGAGUUGACUAGAGGAAACCCGCGACCAAGCACAGCAGAAAUUCUUGACAAAUAUCUACAGCUUUUGGGAAUGAUUGAUCAAGACUUUGAUUUAACAAUUGAUGCAGCUCCUGGUGCCCUUUUCACAAUGUGGCCAAAGUUGUCCAGGCAGACUUUGAAAUUUGCGGAGAAGAUUAAUCUAGGGUAUAGAAAGAUCCUAGGGGCUGGAGUGGACCAGAAAAUGACGCAGAGUCAACAAUGAAGAAAAUUUGGCUUUCAGUACUUCCUGGGAUUUUGAUCGGCAGAACGAAAGGGGAAUGAGGCAAAUUAAAUGUGCCGUACUUCAAAGUCUUGAAUCUUUCAUCAAUCUCCAAUUAGUAAGUAUUGAUUAUCAUCUUACUUUUUCAAAGUUUUUAUUUAUUUAUUUAUUUUUUGGCCAAUUUAGGUUAAAGCUCUGAUUUUCCUGAACAAUAUUAGAACGUUACUGUUGGCAAUCUUUGAGAGCACUUAGGUUUGACUGUAGCGCAUGCUCACUUGACCAAGGCAAGUGAAAAUAUCAAAGUGCUUAAGUUGCUUACCCAAAAA